GUGUCACCUCGCAACCGUAUGUCAACCACAUUUGAUUGAAACGGUUUGUAAUCAAUGAAAAAUUGACAUUUAAUGAUUAAAUAGUGAAUCUGUUCGAGUGACAGCGUGAUAUUACAAAAAAGAAAUCAACGAAUAACAGUUACUUUAUGAUAAGCACGAUAUUUAUUUUAAUAUAAAGUUUGUCGUACAAUAAUUUCAUCUAUUCCCACACGUGGUUUCUUAACCUAUCAAACUACUCACGAAGGGAUUCCAAACAACGUAUAGGCCCUUCAGUUUCGUACUGUUCCGGUCUCCCAACAAAUUGGAAUAAAAUACUACUCAAAGAAAUCUAGUACUCACAUAUUUUCGUAUCCUGUACCGGUUGAAUUUUGCGAAAAUACAUUGAUGUCAUGAUGACAUUGUCAUCACAACCUCGGAAGAACGGUAAUCAUCGCGAUAGAUAAGUUUCUACGGAUCUACGCGACGAAAAAUACCUCCCUGGCGCCAUCUCACGCAGCGAAGUUUAAGCAGAACGACGAAAUCUUCUUUACCAGUGUUGCGGGUUCAGCCGGAAACUCAUAAAGCAGGAGAAAGAUUCGCAGCAAAGAAAUUCACAUCUGUAUUUGCGUACCAGCGUCACCGCGCUCGUGUCGGGAUAAAAAUCUCUCAAAGUCUUACGGGAUCAGGAAAAUGCACAUUCCGUGACAUUUCCUCAAUCUCCCGAGAACCGGGACGUUCGCGAUCGGUUCGCCGUGGCGAAGAUCCGCCGGAGGAUGUUCCGCCGGUCGGCGAGUUUUCCGCGGAAAUGAAAUAAAAAUGACGACGAAAUGCUCUCUUCCGAACAGGAGGGACGGAAGAUUCACUUAGGAAGGAACGAUCAUAUUCAGCACAAGUUAUCCUUCGCGAUACAUCCAUGGAGAACAAAAUGGAGUCAACCUCGCGGUCCCCUGCUCAAUGUUAAUGCUGGUACAGGGUAGAGGGAAUUGCUGGAGCCAUGGGGGCGGCCGUGUGUGCCAUUCAAAGUCGAUGAGUAGGCUGGUUAAUUGGGAGAACAACAUUUUAAGCGUAGCUAUGACGGGUGGCUUGGAGAAACGUCAGUCGCAUCGCGCUCACAACUGUAUCGUAUUUUCAUUAUCAUCAAAUUGGACACGUAGUACAGCCACGAAUUUUAACAAUGGCAGCCUCACCAUACUUGCCUACGUACGCCCGACACCCUUUAUACGGUUCCCCUUGCGGAAACGCGACGUCUCCAUGGUUACAACAUUGAAACCCCGCUAGGGGAUGACAAAAUGGAGAGGCGCAUUACUCGGUCUGACAAAGGCGAAGUAGAAUCGAAGAACUCCUUCGACUACGUACUUGCACUUGUAUUUGAAAAGUCGAGACGCGUAUACAACCCGGAUACAGAGACUGGGAAAACCAGCCAGGAGAGGCCAAGUUCCAACAACUAGCCCUCUCUUCGUUGUUCAAUUCGUCCGGAACAAAUAGUUGAAGCACCAUUCAACUCCAUACUACGACGGUAGACAGUUUCCUCUCGUGUUAUUUCGAAUUUCGAUACGACGACCUGCCAUUCGUUGCCCAAAAACGGAGUAGAGAAAAAAAGAAGUGAAAACAAUGUCUACGGCUGCUCUAUAAACAAAGGAGGAUCGUCGAGCAAAAUGGCGACUCGAUGCACAGGCGUCUAAUCCCGGAUGAGACGACGGAUGUGACGGUGGCGGGUGGAGGAUGACGGUGACGAAGGUGGAAGCGGGAGGCGACGCAGACACAUCUCUCGGAUUACGUCUUAACAAGCUCCACGACGUUCAUUUGUCUUAUCCGCUCUCGCUAAUGCGACAGCAGCUGUUGAAAUGAUUAAUUCACCGCGAGGAUGCUCCUACGCCUUGUUCAGCGGUGCGCGGUCGCGCUUGUGCGCGCGCGCGUGCACGACCACACACCAACCUUCCAUUGUGAUCGUGGUCUCGAUUAAUCAACUCCCUUAUCGUUUCUAUAAAUACCGUCAAAUGUUUAAUUAAACGACGCCCGCUAUGGCAUUCGUUCGACGCGAACUUGUCGCGCCUUGUUAUCUCGCGAGCGUCGACCUAACUCAUUUUUUUCUUGAGCUAUGCCAGUGCCUCGGAUAUUGAUAAAAUUGUAAUGAAAAAAUCCGACGAGAAGUUAUCUACUUCAGCUUCAUUUAUUUGUAAUUAACUUAUAAGUAUCUCCUGGUGUACCCAAACUUGGUACUCCAAAAACCACCUGUCCGCUAUCGAUCAAUUUUUAAUUCAUUCAUUGUAAUUUCGCAUCAGGCAUCGCGAGAACGAUAAUGUUUCCUAACGCUGUGUCAGGAACAAAGCCAGAGGAAACCUUACGAAAACUCUUUACGCUUAGUCAAAACAACGUUCAUGGCUCAGCACGAGAUCUGAUUGGAUUAACUUUCGAUUUCCAUUAACCACCUGUCAUCGACGGGGAGCAGGAUCGGUAAUUGUCACCGAUCGAUGACUAAUCCGCUCUGGAAUCGUUAGUAUUCGCUGCGCAGUGGCGCUAACUGACUCGAUUAUAGCCCCGAGCCCGCGAGAACAAAGGACCACCAACGCGACAAUUGAACUUCAUCGUGCUGAUAUAAAGUUACAAAUCUGAAGGGAGAAAAUGAGAGGCGAAUAUUAAGUCGGCGUACAAAAUGGCCGUCACGAGGCGCGAAAAAAAAUAGGGAUGCGAUCGUUCCUCUUGCUUCCAUGCACCACAUGCUGGU